AGGGUGGCGUAUGCCGUGUUUGACUACGAAGCUCGGCAGCCGGAUGAGCUGAGCUUUGCACAGGGCGACAUGGUGCAGAUCCUCCGCCGCGGAGGAGCAGAGGGUGAUUGCAGAUCAACCAUGCGGAUGGUGGUGGGCACGGCUCCGUGAUGGCCGCGAGGGAUACCUACCGCGGAACCUGCUCGGGCUCUACCCAAGGGUGCAACCUUGCCGACCAAGCCUGGAGGAGUGAGCAACUUGCCAUUCGUUUCCACGAUGAAAAGUAUUCUGCCUUGAACGACAAUGUGCCUUUGUCGCACCUUGUUCGGGACACAAGUGUUGGGACCCACUGAAGCAGCAGAGUGACUAUUGUAGCCACUCGUAGACCAGUAUACAGGGACCAGGAUGCAAGCGCAAUAAAGUGUGGGAACAAAU
rnacentral:lncRNA from 1 species